UAUGGAGCUGCCUCGAAGAAGGAUCCUAAUAUCAUAUAUCAGUUAGAUGACCAAGUUCAGGGCCUGCUGCUCGACUGCUUCAGCUCAGCGCCGGAGCUCGGAUCAAUGGAAUACUGUUGGGGAUACAACGGACCACACCCACAUACUGAUCAGACCCUCUGAUUGGAUAUCACAUGGAUGUCUUGACCACUGCCAUGGCUUUCAUGCAAAUUGAUGAAGGAGCAAAGAAGCAGCUGUGAGGAGCCUGGAAGGUCCCCCAACUCUGCCCCUCACCUGUGUCACGUCUGCCUGCCAGUGCCAUCAAGGAUCUCUCCUCUCCUCCAGCCCCUGGGUGUCUUCAGCAUCAGAUGUCAUCCUGCCAGAGACAAAGUAAGUCAGACAAACACACUGGCUGGACCUCUGAGGAGAACCUUGCUGCAUGCUCAAGUGCUAUAAGUGCCUAGGAGUCGUCUUACAAGAAACACUUAUUGCAUUUUGUAUUGAGCAUGAUGUUAUGAAAAAUUAAUACAGGGAUGGUGUGCCUUCCUCUCCUUGGCCUCACUCUGUGUGAGUCUGUGUCCAUCCCUAUGCAUGUAAAUGCACAUGCACUUACUUGCAUGUCUUACUCUUUGUGUUUAUGUUUUGGUAAAUGCAUGUGCUUGUGUGCAAGAAUGUUUGGCUGCAUUCAUUUGAUUCUGUGUGAGUUUUGGGGGCUAAUAGUAUAUAAUAUGUAUAUCACAGAUCUUUCCAUCUCCUGGUGUUUUGGUGGAAGCUUCACUAUUGACAAUAGUUACGGCUACGAGCUCCUUCCAUUUGCUGCAUUUAGGCUCUUUAUUCCCCUAGGUUAGUGCAUAUAUUGACUCCACUAUUGGCGAAACAAUAGUGAAAGUAUACAACCUUAAAGUAAAUUGAUAUGUAUACAAAAACAAGAACAG